rnacentral:pre_miRNA from 1 species
ACUGGGAUUUUUGGGUUAUAUGGUAAGUGUAUGUUUAACUUUGUAAGAAAAUGCCAAACUGUUUUCCAAAGUGGCAGUAUCAUUUUACAUUCCUACCAGCAGU